rnacentral:rRNA from 1 species
GGCUCAGUGAGGCGUUCGGACUGGCCCAGAGAGGUGGGCAACUACCACUCAGGGCCGGAAAGUUCUCCAAACUCGGUCAUUUAGAGGAAGUAAAAGUCGUAACAAGGUCUCCGUUGGUGAACCAGCGGAGGGAUCAUUA